AUACGUAGGGGGCGAGCGUUGUCCGGAAUUAUUGGGCGUAAAGGGUUCGCAGGCGGUCUGAUAAGUCAGAUGUGAAAGGCUAUGGCUCAACCAUAGCAAGCAUUUGAAACUGUCAGACUUGAGUUAAGGAGAGGAAAGUGGAAUUCCUAGUGUAGCGGUGAAAUGCGUAGAUAUUAGGAGGAAUACCAGUGGCGAAGGCGACUUUCUGGACUUAUACUGACGCUGAGGAACGAAAGCGUGGGGAGCAAACAGGAUUAGAUACCCUGGUAGUCCACGCCGUAAACGAUGAGUGCUAGGUGUUGGGGGUCAAACCUCGGUGCCGCAGCUAACGCAUUAAGCACUCCGCCUGGGGAGUACGUACGCAAGUAUGAA
rnacentral:rRNA from 1 species